rnacentral:rRNA from 1 species
GGGUGCUAGACAUGCAAGUCGAACGCGAAAGUCCCCUUCGGGGGACAAGUAGAGUGGCGCACGGGUGAGUAACACGUAGGUAAUCUACCUUCGGGUGGGGAAUAACAACCGGAAACGGUUGCUAAUACCGCAUAAUGCAGCGGCACCUAAUGGUGACAGUUGUUAAAGCGGGGGAUCGCAAGACCUCGCGCCUGAAGAGGAGCCUGCGGCGGAUUAGCCAGUUGGCAGGGUAACGGCCUACCAAGGCGACGAUCCGUAGCCGGCCUGAGAGGGCGGUCGGCCACACUGACACUGACAUACGGGUCAGACUCCUACGGGAGGCAGCAGUCGGGAAUUUUGGGCAAUGGGCGAAAGCCUGACCCAGCAACGCCGCGUGAAGGAUGAAAUCCCUCGGGAUGUAAACUUCGCAAGAACGGGGAGAAUAAGCCGGUGUCAACACCACCGGUGAUGACGGUACCGUUUGUAAGCCCCGGCUAACUCCGUGCCAGCAGCCGCGGUAAUACGGGGGGAGCAAGCGUUGUUCGGAUUUACUGGGCGUAAAGGGCGCGUAGGCGGCCACCGCAAGUCAAUUGUGAAAUCUCCGGGCUUAACUCGGAAAGGUCAACUGAUACUGCGGGGCUAGAGUGCGGAAGGGGCAACUGGAAUUCUCGGUGUAGCGGUGAAAUGCGUAGAUAUCGAGAGGAACACCUGCGGCGAAGGCGGGUUGCUGGGCCGACACUGACGCUGAGGCGCGAAAGCUAGGGGAGCGAACGGGAUUAGAUACCCCGGUAGUCCUAGCCUUAAACGAUGAAUGCUUGGUGUCUGGGGUUAUAAAGUCCCCGGGUGCCGUCGCUAACGCUUUAAGCAUUCCGCCUGGGGAGUACGGUCGCAAGACUGAAACUCAAAGGAAUUGACGGGGACCCGCACAAGCGGUGGAGCAUGUGGUUUAAUUCGACGCAACGCGAAGAACCUUACCUGGGCUAGA